rnacentral:rRNA from 1 species
UACGGAGGAUGCAGGCGUUAUCCGGAUUUAUUAGGUUUAAAGGGUGCGUAGGCGGGGCUAUAAGUCAGUGGUGAAAGAUUGCCGCUUAACGGUAAAAUUGCCAUAGAUACUGUAGUCCUUGAGUGUAGAUGAGGUAGGCGGAAUGUGUCAAGUAGCGGUGAAAUGCAUAGAUAUGACACAGAACACCGAUUGCGUAGGCAGCUUACUAAGCUACAACUGACGCUGAGGCACGAAAGCGUGGGGAU